rnacentral:tRNA from 1 species
CUGGAUAUAGCUCAGCUCGUAGAGCGCUCUGCCCGGUGCAGAGAGGACGGUGGUCCAAAUCCAUCUAUUCCGACCA